GACGAACGCUGGCGGCGUGCUUAACACAUGCAAGUCGAACGGAAAGGCCCUGCUUUUGUGGGGUGCUCGAGUGGCGAACGGGUGAGUAACACGUGAGUAACCUGCCCUUGACUUUGGGAUAACUUCAGGAAACUGGGGCUAAUACCGGAUAGGAGCUCCUGCUGCAUGGUGGGGGUUGGAAAGUUUCGGCGGUUGGGGAUGGACCCGCGGCUUAUCAGCUUGUUGGUGGGGUAGUGGCUUACCAAGGCUUUGACGGGUAGCCGGCCUGAGAGGGUGACCGGCCACAUUGGGACUGAGAUACGGCCCAGACUCCUAAGGGAGGCAGCAGUGGGGAAUAUUGCACAAUGGGCGGAAGCCUGAUGCAGCAACGCCGCGUGCGGGAUGACGGCCUUCGGGUUGUAAACCGCUUUCGCCUGUGACGAAGCGUGAGUGACGGUAAUGGGUAAAGAAGCACCGGCUAACUACGUG
rnacentral:rRNA from 1 species